AUUGAACGCUGGCGGCAGGCCUAACACAUGCAAGUCGAGCGAGCGGCGGACGGGUGAGUAAUGUCUGGGGAACUGCCCGAUAGAGGGGGAUAACUACUGGAAACGGUGGCUAAUACCGCAUACUAUCGGAUGAACCCAUAUGGGAUUAGCUAGUAGGUGGGGUAAAGGCUCACCUAGGCGACGAUCGCUAGCUGGUCUGAGAGGAUGACCAGCCACACUGGAACUGAGAGCCGGUCCAGACUCCUACGGUAGGAAGCAGUGGGGAAUAUUGCACAAGAGGCGCAAGCCUGAUGCAGCCAUGCCGCGUGUAUGAAGAAGGCCUUAGGGUUGUAAAGUACUUUCAGCGGUGAGGCGUUACCCGCAGAAGAAGCACCGGCUAACGCCGUGCCAGCCGCCGCGGUAAUAC
rnacentral:rRNA from 1 species